rnacentral:rRNA from 1 species
CACGGAGUUAGCCGGGGCUUCUUCUGCUGGUACCGUCAUUAUCUUCCCAGCUGAAAGAGCUUUACAACCCUAAGGCCUUCAUCACUCACGCGGCAUGGCUAGAUCAGGGUUGCCCCCAUUGUCUAAGAUUCCCCACUGCUGCCUCCCGUAGGGGUCUGGGCCGUGUCUCAGUCCCAGUGUGGCUGAUCAUCCUCUCAAACCAGCUAUGGAUCGUCGGCUUGGUAGGCCAUUACCCCACCAACUACCUAAUCCAACGCGGGCUAAUCCUUCUCCGAUAAAUCCUUUCCCCCUAAGGCGUAUACGGUAUUACUCCCAGUUUCCCGAGGCUAUUCCGUAGAGAAGGGCAUAUUCCCACGCGUUACUCACCCGUCGCCGCUAGAUCCGAAGAUCUCGCUCGACUUGCAUGUGUUAGCCUGCCGCAGCGUUCGUUCUGAGCCAGGAUCAACUCU